rnacentral:rRNA from 1 species
UGAUGACGAGACGCUAAGGAGUUGAAGCAGUGUAUGUCAGACUUCCAAGAAAAGCUCGCAAUGUCACAAAUAAAAAUGCCUGUACCAUAACCGACACAGGUGGGUAGGUAGAGUAUACUAAGGGGCGCGAGAUAACUCUCUCUAAGGAACUCGGCAAAAUGACUCCGUAACUUCGGGAGAAGGAGUGCCUUAUUUAUAAGGUUGCAAUAACAAGAUCCAAGCAACUGUUUAUCAAAAACACAGGUCUCCGCUAAGUCGUAAGACGAUGUAUGGGGGCUGACGCCUGCCCAGUGCCAGAAGGUUAAAGAAGUUGGUUAGUGUAUGCGAAGCUGAUGACUGAAGCCCUGGUGAACGGCGGCCGUAACAAUAACGGUCCUAAGGUAGCGAAAUUCCUUGUCGGGUAAGUUCCGACCCGCACGAAAGGCGUAAUGAUUUGGAUACUGUCUCGGAGAGAGGCUCGGUGAAAUAGACUUGUCUGUGAAGAUGCGGACUACCUGCACCAGGACAGAAAGACCCUAUGAAGCUUUACUGUAACUUGAAAUUGGAAUUGGACUUUGCUUGCGCAGUAUAGGUGGGAAGCGUUGAAAAUAUUCUUGCGGGAGUAUUGGAGCUAUCAGUGAGAUACCACUCUUGUAAUGUUAGAUUUCUAACUUUGAACCAUAAUCUGGUCAAAGAACAGUUUCAGGUGGGCAGUUUGACUGGGGCGGUCGCCUCCCAAAUGGUAACGGAGGCGUACAAAGGUUUCCUCUGAACGGAUAGAAAUCGUAUCUAGAGUGUAAAGGCAUAAGGAAGCUUGACUGUGAGACCUACAAGUCGAGCAGGGACGAAAGUCGGUCUUAGUGAUCUGACGGUACUGAGUGGAAAGGCCGUCACUCAACGGAUAAAAGUUACUCUAAGGAUAACAGGCUGAUCUCCCCCAAGAGUUCACAUCGACGGGGAGGUUUGGCACCUCGAUGUCGGCUCAUCGCAUCCUGGGGCGGUAGUACGUCCCAAGGGUUGGGCUGUUCGCCCAUGAAAGCGGUACGCGAGCUGGGUUCAGAACGUCGUGAGACAGUUCGGUCCAUAUCCGGUGUAGGCGCUAGAAUAUUGAGAGGAGCCUUCUUUAGUACGAGAGGACCGAGAAGGACACACCGCUGGUGUACCAGUUAUCGUGCCAACGGUAAACGCUGGGUAGCUAUGUGUGGAGUGGAUAACCGCUGAAAGCAUCUAAGUGGGAAGCCCACCUCGAGAUGAGUAUUCUCAUC